GACGAACGCUGGCGGCGUGCUUAACACAUGCAAGUCGAACGGUGACCCAGGGCUUGCCCUGGUGAUCAGUGGCGAACGGGUGAGUAACACGUGGGCAACCUGCCCCUGACUUCGGGAUAACUCCUCGAAAGAGGAGCUAAUACCGGAUACGACCAACUUCGGACAUCCGAUGGUGGUGGAAAGUUUUUCGGUCAGGGAUGGGCCCGCGGCCUAUCAGCUAGUUGGUGGGGUAAUGGCCUACCAAGGCGACGACGGGUAGCCGGCCUGAGAGGGCGACCGGCCACACUGGGACUGAGACACGGGCCCAGGACUCCUACGGGAGGCAGCAGUGGGGAAUAUUGCGCAAUGGGCGAAAGCCUGACGCAGCGAGCCGCGUGAGGGAUGAAGGCCU
rnacentral:rRNA from 1 species